CAGCAGCCGCGGGAAUACGAAGGGUGCAAGCGUUACUCGGAAUUACUGGGCGUAAAGCGUGCGUAGGUGGUGGUUUAAGUCCGUUGUGAAAGCCCUGGGCUCAACCUGGGAAUUGCAGUGGAUACUGGGUCACUAGAGUGUGGUAGAGGAUAGUGGAAUUUCCGGUGUAGCAGUGAAAUGCGUAGAGAUCGGAAGGAACAUCUGUGGCGAAGGCGACUAUCUGGGCCAACACUGACACUGAGGCACGAAAGCGUGGGGAGCAAACAGGAUUAGAUACCCGCGUAGUCCCUGUCUCUUAUAC
rnacentral:rRNA from 1 species